UGAGGGAUAGCUCAGUUAGUAGAGCAUGAGACUGUUAAUCUCAGGGCUGUGGGUUUGAGCCCCACAUUGGGUGAAAAA